UGGGUUAACUGGGAGGGUGCCAGGAGGAACUGGGGGCACUGGGAGGGUGGAGCUGGGCGUACUGGGGGAACUGGGAGGAACUGGGAGGGGCUGGAGGAUUGGGCCAUACUGGGGGACACUGGGAGCACUGGUGACCUGGCGGUGACCCCUGGCCCCGCCCCCAGCGGCCCUGCCCGUCUGGUGCUUCAGCCGAUUGGAGGAGGAUGGAGAGGGCGGGGCCUGCGCAGAGCCACUGGGGGAGGAGCCUCUCCCAUUGGCCGAUUGCUGCCUGAACCCCGCCUAUGGCUACAGGCUCCGCCCACACGGCCACUGCCGCAGCUGCCGCGCGGGCGCCUGGGGGCCCUGGGAGCCCUGGAGCAGCUGCUCGGUGACGUGUGACGAGGGGACACAGCGCAGGGGACGCAGCCGCGGCCACGGCGGGGGACACGCGGGGAACAGCACCGAGUGGCAGCUGAGGGCGUGUGACAUGGGCUGCUGCCCCGUGGCGGGGGGGUGGAGCCCGUGGUCGCCCUGGGGUCCCUGCUCUGUCACCUGUGGGGGAGGGGGCUCCCAGCGGCGCCACCGCAGCUGCUCCAGCCCCUCCCCCCAGUGCGGGGGCUCCUGCGGGCCCGGCGACAGCGACGACACCCGGGAGUGCCAGGGGACAGCGGCCACCUG